rnacentral:rRNA from 1 species
UACAGAGGGUGCGAGCGUUGUUCGGAAUCAUUGGGCGUAAAGCGCUUGUAGGCGGCCUGUCAAGUCGCGUGUGAAAUCCCUUGGCUUAACCAAGGAAGUGCGCGCGAAACUGGCGGGCUUGAGUGCCGGAGAGGGUUGCGGAAUUCCCGGUGUAGAGGUGAAAUUCGUAGAUAUCGGGAGGAACACCAGUGGCGAAGGCGGCGACCUGGACGGACACUGACGCUGAGACGCGAAAGCGUGGGGAGCAAACAGG